rnacentral:rRNA from 1 species
AUUGAACGCUGGCGGCAGGCCUAACACAUGCAAGUCGAGCGGAUGAAGGGAGCUUGCUCCUGGAUUCAGCGGCGGACGGGUGAGUAAUGCCUAGGAAUCUGCCUGGGAGUGGGGGAUAACGUCCGGAAACGGGCGCUAAUACCGCAUACGUCCUGAGGGAGAAAGUGGGGGAUCUUCGGACCUCACGCUAUCAGAUGAGCCUAGGUCGAUUAGCUAGUUGGUGGGGUAAAGGCCUACCAAGGCGACGAUCCGUAACUGGUCUGAGAGGAUGAUCAGUCACACUGGAACUGAGACACGGUCCAGACUCCUACGGGAGGCAGCAGUGGGGAAUAUUGGACAAUGGGCGAAAGCCUGAUCCAGCCAUGCCGCGUGUGUGAAGAAGGUCUUCGGAUUGUAAAGCACUUUAAGUUGGGAGGAAGGGCAGUAAGUUAAUACCUUGCUGUUUUGACGUUACCAACAGAAUAAGCACCGGCUAACUUCGUG